rnacentral:rRNA from 1 species
UACGUAGGCAGCAAGCGUUGUUCGGAGUUACUGGGCGUAAAGAGUGCGUAGGCGGUUCUCUAAGUUUGAUGUGAAAUCUCCCGGCUCAACUGGGGGGGUGCGCCGAAAACUGGAGGGCUUGAGGGUGGGAGAGGCAAGCGGAAUUCCUGGUGUAGCGGUGAAAUGCGUAGAUAUCAGGAGGAACACCUGUGGUGUAGACAGCUUGCUGGACCAUUACUGACGCUGAGGCACGAAAGCGUGGGUAGCAAACAGG